CGGACGGGUGAGUAACGCGUGAGAAUCUGCCCUCAGGAGGGGGAUAACAGUUGGAAACGACUGCUAAUGCCCCAUAUGCCGAAAGGUGAAACGAAUUUCGCCUGGGGAUGAGCUCGCGUCUGAUUAGCUUGUUGGUGGGGUAAAGGCCUACCAAGGCUUCGAUCAGUAGCUGGUCUGAGAGGACGAUCAGCCACACUGGGACUGAGACACGGCCCAGACUCCUACGGGAGGCAGCAGUGGGGAAUUUUCCGCAAUGGGCGAAAGCCUGACGGAGCAACGCCGCGUGAGGGAUGAAGGCCUUUGGGCUGUAAACCUCUUUUCUCAAGGAAGAAGAUCUGGCGGUACUUGAGGAAUAAGCCACGGCUAAUUCCGUGCCAGCAGCCGCGGUAAUACGGGAGUGGCAAGCGUUAUCCGGAAUUAUUGGGCGUAAAGCGUCCGCAGGCGGCCGUCUAAGUCUGUUGCUAAAUCGUGGAGCUUAACUCCAUCACGGCAAUGGAAACUGUUCGGCUUGAGUGUGGUAGGGGCAGAGGGAAUUUCCGGUGUAGCGGUGAAAUGCGUAGAUAUCGGGAAGAACACCAGUGGCGAAAGCGCUCUGCUAGGCCAUUGCUGACGCUCAUGGACGAAAGCCAGGGGAGCGAAAGGGAUUAGAUACCCCUGUAGUC
rnacentral:rRNA from 1 species